rnacentral:misc_RNA from 1 species
CAGGCUGCCAGUGGUAUGGGAGUCUCUGUUUCCACUUUCAGGCUCUUACUCUCUUUCGACCAAAUUAGUAUUGCCUUAGUUCAUUGUUACUUCGCGCUCGGACAUUCGUGUCUCCAUCAUGGCGUCCAUCAAGGAGCUGAACGACCGCCUGACGAAGCAGCCGUACGUGUCCGGCUACACGCCAAGCGCCGACGAUGCGAAGCUCUUUAACGAGAUCUUUGGCGACAAUGUGAACGUAGUCCAGUGGGCUGCACGCAUGGCGACGUACUAUCCUAGCGAGCGUUCCAAGAUGAAACCCAUUCCAGUCGAGUCGGAGGACUCCUCGGAGAUCGAUUAUGACGAUUGAUGUGACUUCGCGCACGCGUCGAGUAGGAUAGAGUCUGGUUGUGUGCGCUAGCAGCAGCCACGGCACCGUGUGACUCAACUGCAGCGCCACUUUUAGUUGGUGCAGGGAAUGUGGGAGAGGAGUGGCUGCAAAAACCACCAUUCAUCGAUAUGCAUAGAGCUCUUUGUCUGCACGUAAGUCUGUCCUGCGGUGUUGACGAAAGGCUGCGGUACUCGUGCGCGCACACGUGUCUCAUGGUAGACCACAUAGGAAAUUCCCGUAAUGUUAUCUGGUUGGUUUUGGGUGUACGCAUUGUUCUUUUUUUUUUUGCUGUUGUGCGGCUAACACCGUGCGUGAGGGCGUGCGUGUGUUCCUCGAUUUCUUUGUCUCGCUUUUCUUUUUGAUUUCCCUUACUCAACGUUGCUCAGCGGCCUUUAGGUGGUCUUUUCAUUCUCAAAGCAGCCAUCACAAGCGGGAAGCCAGCAGUCCCGGCAAGUCGUAAGACAGUGGUGGGUGGUGAGUGGGAGGCGCUUCAGAUGCUGCACUCCCACCUGGAGCGACCUCUUAAAGAAAAAGAGGGAGACAAAGAGGCAUCCACUACUGUUCUUUUUUGUUUUCUGUGUGUCUGUCUCUGCCACGGGCGUGAAAAGGAG